rnacentral:rRNA from 1 species
UACGUAGGGUGCAAGCGUUAAUCGGAAUUACUGGGCGUAAAGUGUGCGCAGGCGGCAGAGCAAGUCGAGUGUGAAAGCCCCGGGCUUAACUUGGGAAUUGCGCUCGAAACUACUUUGCUGGAGUGUGGCAGAGGAAGGUGGAAUUCCACGUGUAGCGGUGAAAUGCGUAGAUAUUCGGAAGAACACCAGUGGCGAAGGCGGCUCACUGGCCCGGUACUGACGCUGAGGUGCGAAAGCGUGGGGAGCGAACAGG